ensembl:lncRNA
CUGAAGUACUCAGCCAAUGAGGAACCAAUGAGGGGAGAAAGAGGUAAGCGUCGAUAACAGGGAGUAAAAGUGGAAGGCUGUUUUCUGUGUGCUCUCCUGCUUGCAGGAGGCCUGCCAUUGCAGUUGUGCAUAGAAUCUGCUUUAUCAGAGAUACCGUCCUGAUAAAUUAUUUGUAUUUGCCUAUUUCCAGCGUGGCAAGCACACCCCCUUCAGGGCACAUCUCAUCCCACCGUUAGUCAGUCCUUGUAAGAAGCACCACGACAAAUCCACCUGAAAAACACAGCCCUUCCAUUGAGUAACAAAGAAAGCACUCUGCCCUUGCUCCUGACCCUCGUCCCUGCCCCCACCUGCCCUCACAGUACAGCCACCUUCUCUUGAGCAGGGUAAAGAGCAGUGAGAAUUCAUACUUGGUUAUCCUGGCACAAAGUGUUUGUGGGCCACAAAGAGAAAUCCCUGCAUUCCAGAAAACAGAGACAAAAAGAGACAGACGGAGGAGCGCCUAAUAAAGAUGUGACGAUGUUCUCAGCUGCGGCUGCUGUUGCUGGAUACAAGCAACCACACGAGGGAGGCUGAGCACGCUCUCCUGUCUCCAUCCCAAUCCAGGAAACACACAGAAGAGCUCAGUGCUCUCUUGCUUUCAUUUCCUUCCAUGACCAAUUUUAAAAUGCACCUUGUUCUAGGCCGGCACAAGCUCUAGGGCCUAAAGGCAGCGCCUGAGUGGCCAGCACAGCCCCGGGGCCUAAAGCCUCAGCCAGAGAGGCAUGAGGGCCCUGUGACCUAAAGCCAUCACAAGAGAGGCCAGCACCGACCCCAGCGCCUAAAGCCACAGCCCGAGAUGCCUAAACAGACCCCGGGGCCUGAAGCCACAGGCAGGCAGGCCUGCACUGGCGCUGCAUCCUGAAGACUCAUCCCCAGCCUGAGAGGCCAGCACCAGCCCUGGGCCUAAAGCCAGAGUCACGGCAUCGAGAGGCCAGCACCAGCUCCAGGGCCUAAAGCCACAGCCCAAAGGGCCAGCACGUGCCCUGGGGCCUGAAGCCACUGCUAGAGAGGCCAGCACCGGCCCCAGGGCCUGAAGCCACAGCCUGACAGGCUGGAACCAAUCCGGGGAGUUCAAGCCACUACCACAGUUAGAGAGCUCAGCACAGGACUGAGGGUCUGAAGACACAGCCCCACCCUGAGAGGCCAGCACUGGCCUCGAGGCACACAGGGGUGCAUUCCAAUUGGUUUCUACUGAUUCCUAUUGGUCUCUAUUCACCCCCAUCAGUCCUUGCUGGUCUUUUCUGGACGCUGACGCAUUCCUUUCACAAAAACGAGGUCUGAUGUCCCACUCGUUUUCGGGUUUGUUGCCCGUUUGUAAAAUAUUUUAUGACGUAUACAUAUCAAUCUAUGUCUCGUCCCACUCAGUGCAUUUUGAGGGGGUGAAUCUUUUUCCAUCUCCUGAGUCGCGCCUCCCCUGGUCAACAAAGGGUCACUGCCGCAAUGGAGUCAUCCAAACUCAGAGGAUUAAUACACAUCCAUUUAUUGACAGCGUUCUUAACAACUGACAACAGCCCACUGGAGGUAACAUUGCCUAAUGGGCUAAUUACAAUUCAUAAGCCUUACAGGUAACCAGCUGAAGGAAAUUGCUACGAAGACUCAAAGAAUCCAAGAAGCCACGUCCUGGCGUCAGGUGCACAUCUUCAGUCUGAUGGGUCGUCGGAGGUGGUGGUGUUCAGUUGACGACGACAGUACCAACUUAUUUGUAAGUCCAAAGUGGUGGCACUCAGCCGCCUGCCGGCACUGCCCCACAGCUGUGCCUGUGCGCCCCUGGGGGCAGGAGCACAGGAGAGGCCCCUUCCGUGGGGACAGAGCUCUCUCCCUGCACCCCACCACUGCGCAGCCCCGAGCUGGGAGGGGGGACUGAGAGGGGCGGUCAGAUGGGCAGCAGCCCAUCACAGACGACACGCAGGCUCCUGCUCGCAAAGUACGCCGGGGAAGCGUACAUUGCCUGGGGCAGCACUCGCAG